CAAAUGGAGAGUUUGAUCCUGGCUCAGGAUAAACGCUGGCGGCGUGCCUAAUACAUGCAAGUCGAACGAAGAUUUUAUUUUGAAACAAAGUGUUUACAUGGAGUAGAUGAUUAAAAUCUUAGUGGCGAACGGGUGAGUAACACAUGAGCAACCUGCCUAUAUGGACUGGGAUAACAUUUGGAAACGAAUGCUAAUACCGGAUAGGUAAUAGAAGGGCAUCCUUCUAUUAUUAAAGGUUAAAGACACAAAUAGAUGGGCUCAUGGUGUAUUAGCUAGUUGGUGAGGUAACUGCUCACCAAGGCGAUGAUACAUAGCCGACCUGAGAGGGUGAUCGGCCACAUUGGGACUGAGACACGGCCCAAACUCCUACGGGAGGCAGCAGUAGGGAAUCUUCCGCAAUGGACGAAAGUCUGACGGAGCAACGCCGCG
rnacentral:rRNA from 1 species